rnacentral:rRNA from 1 species
AGAACGAACGCUGGCGGCGCGUUUAAGCAUGCAAGUCGAGCGGCAAGGGCCUUCGGGCCCUAGAGCGGCGGACGGGUGAGUAACACGUGGACAAUCUGCCCCCCGGCCCGGGAUAGCCCAGGGAAACCUGGAUUAAUACCGGAUGAGACGGGACCCGCGAUGGCGGGACCCGGGAAAGGCGCUGCGGCGCCGCCGGGGGAUGAGUCUGCGUCCCAUUAGCUAGACGGCGGGGUAACGGCCCACCGUGGCGACGAUGGGUAGCCGGCCUGAGAGGGUGGACGGCCACAUUGGAACUGAGACACGGUCCAGACUCCUACGGGAGGCAGCAGCUAAGAAUCUUCCGCAAUGGGCGAAAGCCUGGCGGAGCGACGCCGCGUGAACGAAGAAGGCCGUGAGGUUGUAAAGUUCUUUUCGGGAGGGGGAACAACCGUGGCAGGGAAUGGCCGCGGGAUGACGUGAAUCCCGGAAUAAGCCCCGGCUAACUACGUGCCAGCAGCAGC